rnacentral:ncRNA from 2 species
CUCUUAUCAAGAGUGGCAGAGGGAAUAGGCCCAACGAAGCCCGGCAACCAUCAAUUUUUAUUGAAAAGGUGCCAAAUCCUACAGGUGUUAUACCUGAUAGAUAAGAG